UGCUUCUCUUAUGCGUUUAUUAUCAUGUCAACAGGGGUAGUUGCAGUAUCUAGUUUUAAAGUAAGCUCUUGUACCUGGUCUGCAUUUUCUCCAUUGAGAGCUAGGUCAUAGAUUGGGAAUAGGCUGUUUUUUCAAGCUAGGAGUAAAUCUUUCUAGAGAUUCUAUCAUAAUAUGCUCCAGAAAUAUUUUGGGUGUUUUUUAACUUUCUCCACUUUGAUUACUCAGAAUAGCAUUCCAAAUAAUGUGUAAGAUAUUAGGAUCAGCUGUUUGUUUGCAUGUACAACUACGUAAUGAUUUCGCUAAACAUUCUUGAGUUGCUGUUUUACCAUUCUCGAGACAUCCUCUGCGGGAUUACACCUGUUGUCGUCUUCGGCAUCAAGUUUACUUCUUUAUUUAGACUUCAUGACUAAUUAGCUGGAAAAACAUGCUUCGGAAAAAAAAUACUUAAAAAGAAGCAAAAAAUUGCGAUAUAGACAAAUCGAUAUAUGACUGCAAACGCGUGAUCCAGAUUUGUAUAACUGACAUUAAAAGAUCAUUUUCGCUA